CCAGGAAGCGAGGGCCGAGUGUCAGAAGCUGCUGCUGAGUCACUCAAGAUGAAGACAGAACUCAUCACUGGAGUCACUCAGGCAGCCUUGGUGACCUUGAUAAAAAUAGUUUAGGUGGAGUAGGUGCCGGGUUGGAGCACAGGCUUGGUUGGAAUGGGGUUAAGGGAGGAUGUGAGCAGUAGAACAGGGUGCAGCCAACACAGACAACUACUUUGGAGAAGUUUUGCAAAAGGGAAUGGACCCUUGGCCACUGUUCAGGGCAAGGAGGGGCCUCCACGUCUGAGUUCGAGCAGCCCCCAUAGUGGCCAGAGUGUGAAAACUUUUCCCAAAGCAAACCCAGCUGAUCUACUAAACUCCUCCCCGGGCACCCUGGUUGGUAUCUUCUCAUCUUGGGCUCAUGACUUCGUUCGUCCUUUCCUCAGCUUCUUUACCUGCUAACAAAUACA
rnacentral:lncRNA from 10 species